CAGCUCUUCGAGUGGUGUGGAUGUUUAUUGGGCCUAAAGCAUCCGUAGCUGGCUGAGUUAGUCCCCUGUUAAAUCCACCGAAUUAAUCGUUGGAUUGCGGGGGAUACUGCUCGGCUAGGGGACGAGAGAGGUCGACGGUAUUUCCGGGGUAGGGGUGAAAUCCUAUAAUCCCGGGAGGACCACCAGUGGCGAAGGCUGUCGACUAGAACGCGCCCGACGGUGAGGGAUGAAAGCUGGGGGAGCAAACCGGAUUAGAGACCCGAGUAGUCC
rnacentral:rRNA from 1 species